AAGAAUUUAAAGGUCGAACAGACCUAUAAUAAUAAAUUUUUCUUUAAAAUUUAUUCUUAAUCCAACAUCGAGGUCAUAAUAUAUACUGUUAAUAUGAUCUUUUAAGUAAUUUUAUG
rnacentral:rRNA from 1 species